rnacentral:rRNA from 1 species
AUUGAACGCUGGCGGCAGGCCUAACACAUGCAAGUCGAGCGGAUGAAGGGAGCUUGCUCCUGGAUUCAGCGGCGGACGGGUGAGUAAUGCCUAGGAAUCUGCCUGGUAGUGGGGGAUAACGUCCGGAAACGGGCGCUAAUACCGCAUACGUCCUGAGGGAGAAAGUGGGGGAUCUUCGGACCUCACGCUAUCAGAUGAGCCUAGGACGGAUUAGCUAGUUGGUGGGGUAAAGGCCUACCAAGGCGACGAUCCGUAACUGGUCUGAGAGGAUGAUCAGUCACACUGGAACUGAGACACGGUCCAGACUCCUACGGGAGGCAGCAGUGGGGAAUAUUGGACAAUGGGCGAAAGCCUGAUCCAGCCAUGCCGCGUGUGUGAAGAAGGUCUUCGGAUUGUAAAGCACUUUAAGUUGGGAGGAAGGGCAGUAAGUUAAUACCUUGCUGUUUUGACGUUACCAACAGAAUAAGCACCGGCUAACUUCGUG